rnacentral:rRNA from 1 species
GACGAACGCUGGCGGCGUGCUUAACACAUGCAAGUCGAACGAUGAAGCCGGAGCUUGCUCUGGUGAAUUAGUGGCGAACGGGUGAGUAACACGUGAGUAACCUGCCCUUGACUCUGGGAUAACUGCGGGAAACUGUAGCUAAUACCGGAUACGACCCUCGGAGGCAUCUCCUGGGGGUGGAAAGAAUUUCGGUCAAGGAUGGACUCGCGGCCGAUCAGCUAGGUGGUGAGGUAAAGGCUCACCAAGGCGACGACGGGUAGCCGGCCUGAGAGGGUGACCGGCCACACUGGGACUGAGACACGGCCCAGACUCCUACGGGAGGCAGCAGUGGGGAAUAUUGCACAAUGGGCGCAAGCCUGAUGCAGCAACGCCGCGUGAGGGAUGACGGCCUUCGGGUUGUAAACCUCUUUUAGCAGGGAAGAAGCGAAAGUGACGGUACCUAAAGAAGAAGCACCGGCUAACUACGUGCCAGCAGCCGCAGUAA